rnacentral:rRNA from 1 species
UACGAAGGGGGCUAGCGUUGCUCGGAAUCACUGGGCGUAAAGCGCACGUAGGCGGCUUUUUAAGUCAGGGGUGAAAUCCUGGAGCUCAACUCCAGAACUGCCUUUGAUACUGGGAAGCUUGAGUCCGGGAGAGGUGAGUGGAACUCCGAGUGUAGAGGUGAAAUUCGUAGAUAUUGGGAAGAACACCGGUGGCGAAGGCGGCUAUCUGGCCCGUAAUUGACGCUGAGGCGCGAAAGCGUGGGGAGCAAACAGG